ensembl:lncRNA
AGAUAUACACACAUAGAGACACUUUUAGUUAACGUCCUUUUCAAAAAGAAAGUGAAUUUUCAAAGUGAAUGUUUCUACUAAAUGUCAUCCAUCCAAUAAUUAUUGAAGGGUGACGGGGUGUAUAAAUGGAAAGCGAGGAAUACAGAAUGGAACCCAAAUGAUCAGGAAACCUUUAGGCCUACGCGCAGUCUACCAGACUACCUUACAGAUUGUCAUUUUUUAUUUUUCUGUAACAGUCACAUGUCCGUUUGGUUGGUUUUCUGUCUGAGCCACAGCAUCACCACCAGUCCCAAGGUCAUUCUCUGACUCCGGCGGGGGAGGGAGUAAUUUGUUUUCAUCAACAACAAGCACGAGUGGGCAAUGUUUUAAUGGCUUCAAUGUGCUUUAAAGGAGAUACAAUUAUCAAGUGUAGGACAAGAGAAUAUUCAAAAAUGUCCAUAGGAUCACACUGAUCCACAUGAACUAUUAUAAAACACCCAAGGUGUGGAUUUGGUUUCUUUGUGUGCAUUUACCUUAUAACCCUGAGUCUCGUGUUUUAACAAGAAAAAAAAACAGCCUUGUGAUCUCAAUUUAAUUAUUCAGCCCUCGGCAUCCAAGCUGUAGAAUCACAAAACAGAGAAGUCCCUCAACUGCUCAAGGUCUCCUUCAGACCAGACAACUAGUUGUUCUGUCUGAAACCAACGCAAAUCUAACACCUUUUGCGUCAUUAUUAGACGUCCAAGCAACUGAUGCGGUGAGUCUGUGUAACGUGAGUGGGACGGGUGGAGGAUGAAUGCAUGAGUCAGACAAACACAUUUGUUUCUUUACUAUCUGAAACAAAGUCAACGUUGACCUAAUUUAAGGACAUAACAAAGUGCCUUCGUUGCCUAAACCAAAAGAAAAGUGUUUUAUUGCAUAAAACUAAGUAAACCCGCUCUGAUACUUGGUAAUAAAAUACCCAAUCUUCCGAGGGUCCUUUACUCACUCAACUCGUCACAUGCAGAGGCUCGGUCAGGGCCGCUUCUGCGUCUCUUUGUUUUAGGCAACAAAGGUUAUUUCAUAGAUUCAAAAAAAUAUUGCAGUAUUUGACUUGGGAAAAAAACGAGAAACUGAUCCAGAGUCCAAAAUGGACGUGUGGGAGUCAUUCAUUUGUCUGGCUGUGGUCCUCAUCCACACGCACGGGCGACCCUAGAAUUAAAUGAAAAGAAGAAGAAGCUACUUGUAACAUGGCGUCAUUACUGACCCCCAUCUGACAGAGCAGGGCCUUACUGCUGGGGAGGUCAAAUAUAUUUAAAUGCAAAUGUAGAACAACGGCAGCAGGUAUGACUUACAGGUUUAAUUUCGCCUCUCGCCUUGGCUGUCUGACAAGAGGCCACCUGCCUGUGUGGGGAGAGAUUAGGAACGUCCCUCAUCGCUGCCGCUCUAUCAUGCUCGGCUCAAAUGGGCACAGGAAAUGCAUUAGCCACGCUUUCCUGAGCACAUACGUUCUCAAAAGCGAAAUGUGCACUCUCUUAUUGCGUGGGAUCAAACAUCAUUAAAGUAUUUAUCCCAAGUGACAUAUUGACAGAAUUUCAAGUUAAACGAUGACUGGCUUUGGUGUUGAGACAUUAUUCGGGUGUUACGCGCGGGGCCAGACUUUGAGGACUAAACUAGAUGUUUCUAUAAAGUCUUUACAACAUGUAUAAUAUAACCUAAUAUUUUAACAGUCUAGCAAAGGUGGUAUAAUGUUUACAAUCUACACCAUAUUAGUUUAGCAUGCUAACAUUUUUUAAUUACCAUCAAAGACAAAGUCCAGUUGAGACUAAUGAAAACCUGAUUAGAUCGAAAGUGUCAUAAAAGAUACUUAUUAAAUUUAUUAAAAUAUUGACCUGUUGAUGGGGAACAAGGAUUUCAUGGCAAUCCAUUCAAACACAGACAUUUUAGGCAAAACUACAAAUGUCAAUCUGGUGAUGGCACUAGAGGGAAAUACAUUAUCAUUAAUAAAUCACAAAACACAUAUAAAAUCAAAUAAAAUCAAACCAUGAAUGUAUUCAUUACAAUAAAACUACACAGGAACACUGGUAUAUUCACACAAAAAAGGCAUCUGCUCGGAAAACACUGCAACAUUCUGCACCACAACCACCACACAAGACUGUCACCUGAGAUAUUUAAAACAAGCAGAGAUCCACAUAGAGCUGAACUUUCUGUCAGUGGGGAGCAUCGGUAAUGAAAUUGCAUAUGCAUACAGUAGCAGAAGCCACAAGCUGCUGAACUGUCAAGCGCAACAGCAAGCUGUAUGACAGGCACCACACUGUAAGGAAAUAUCACAGGGGGAGAAGAAAAUGGGAUGCUGAGGUGUGUGUGUGUGUGUUUGUGUGUGAGGGGGAAGGGUGAGUUUGGGGAUGUUGCAAAAGCAAGAAAGAGUCACUGGUACAAAAGAAAAAAAAAACAGCGUCCCUGCACAGAAAUUCAAACAGACGCGUCUGAUCUCACGGCGGCAAAGCAAGCAGCCACAAAGCAAAAGGUAAUAAACAUGGCAGAUGCAGCCGGGCUCACACAAUCCCUCAAUACACACACUAACCUGUGAACAUAUGCAUGAGGUAUAUGCAGAAAAACACCGUUGACGAUCAAUCUUUGACUUGGCUUGAAAAAAGAGGCGUCUACAAUGCAGCCACACUGGAAUGUGAAGAGAAGACGAGGGAACAGCAUUCAUCACUUGCUUUCAUAGCACAUCACAGCCGGUGCGUGAAGUGGAGCCCACUGCCUAAUGGGGCCCACCUACACAUUCUUGCAUUAACUUUGACCACACUUUAACUUUAAUCCACACAGGGAUCUACAGGAAAAGUGUGUUUGUCUGACUAAUUCCCAUCACAGAACCUGUGUGGAUUAAUUCACCAUCCUUGGCUCCGGCCAUAAUGCUGCAGGCAUAAGUGCCUUUUAUAAAUUUGCUCAAUGAGGGUCAUGUUGUAAAGCUGGGGAGCACCAGCCAAAACCAAUACCGAGGAAGCUCCCCAAACGUGUUUUUUGAAAAGACAGAUGUGUCGUUCAGAACUGAAUAUGUCCCAUAAAUGCAGCUCAAACCGUGGUAUUUGUCCUGGAUUUAUAGAAUAGUUCAAGUGUGCUUUCACCCAUCAAUGUUAGUUAAUUUUCUAUUAUCCAGACGUGUUGCAAUACUUUUACUAUUGUCCACAAAUGCUAAUCAGAAAACAGUUGGACUUCUUGUUUAAAGCCACAAAAAUAUGAAGUUCCCAAAUACUGUUUGUGUACCAGGAUGGCUGAUGUUUUCACAAUGAAUAUGCAUAACACCAUCACCGAAAACCAUGGAGAUAUUUUUAAAAAUAAAGUCUUUCAGAACACUCAUGGCUCUUUUGUCUGGUUAAGCCUGCAUUCACCUCUUGUGCUUAUUUGGUAGCAUUCACUGAUUGAAUUCCUAUUCUGCCUAGCUCUCCCCGUGCUCCUUUUACACAUUUAACAAAGGCUCCUUCACACAGGGAGGGGAAGAGAGGUUGGGAGGGUGCAGAAAGAAGGAAAAAUAAAAGUGGAGAAUUUGAAAGAUACUGAACGACAGUGCAGGUAAUUAUAAGAAAAAAUCUUUAUUGAGCGAGAGCAUGGCCGACGUGGGAGAUGGUGAAGGAAGAAAGAUACAAAAGAGCCAGGCGAAGCUUUCACCACUGCAGAAAAUGGCAGGCCUUUUAGAUUACCAGCUAGAAAUGUCAAAAGGGGGAGAGAAGGCACAUAACCAAGAAGCAGGCGGAAAGAGAAAUAAAAGAGAGGAAAAUGGAAGGAGAUGUGUGAAAUAGGAGAGGCCAUUCCACCUGAGAGGAGCAAAAGAGAACAAGGGAGAAGGAAGGGGAGAAGGGGACCAAGGGCAUGAUAUGAAGGAAAGGAAAUCCCACAGGACACAAAUAUGCAGACAGAUACCUUUUAAAGCUGGAUGACAAUUUGGGAAACCAGAGGGGGAACCUGAGCAAUGUGCAAUAUGUGUGUGUGCUCAUAUCGCGUGUGUUUGCCUUUAGCCGUCGGCGCUAUAACCAAGUCGGGGGGUGGGAAUCAGGACCCCUCUGCUCUACCUCUGUCCGGUAAAGAGGAUCCACUCAGGAGUCAACGCCUGAGCGAGCAGCCAUGUUUACCCCCGGCUGCUUCUCUGCCCUUAAAGUUCACACAAUCUCUUCUCCUGAGGUGAAGACACAAUCCUUCAGGGAUCAUUUCUGACAACUGAAGGUUGUUCAAUCUACGGUUCACAUUUGACUCUAAAAGGUGAUGUGGUCUUUCUGUCUGCAGAUAGUUAUUUUAGGAUGCACCCUCGGAAGCCCCUUUGUUUUUAAUAGCAAAGGAAAAUAGCAGCUGACAGACUGGCUGCCCGGUGAUUUUAGCGGCGUGGUUAAGGAGUGAUAUUUGGUUUGAAGGCCGCAUUAUUUCUCAGUAAACAUUGGACUUAGCGCGGCUAUAUGAGGCUCAUGAGAGGGAUCAUGUGACGGAGCCUCUGGAGGUCGGCUGGAGGGAGAGGUCUCUUCGAGGAGACCUGUGGUCCGUGCGGUUUGUUUGUUUGGUGAAUCACCGGGUGAGAGUGAGAAGAAAAGGACCGAACAGUCAUUAUCUGAGGAUGAGCUUAAGUGUUCUGAGUUCAUGUCUGAGCCAAACCACAACUAACAAAACCCUCCCACAGAGAACAAUGGGCCAUCCAAACCUCUUAAGCAGCAUUAAAAAGGGCCGCCUCACUUGGAAGGGUUCCUCCUGGUGCUGGACGGCAUGAUUAAACCGGCGCUCCGUCCCUUUUCCACACUCCCUAAUUCCUGUGGGAUUGAAAGAUGAGAGAACACGAGUCGGCCAAGUUUUUUCAAAGCUUCUCUGUACUACAACAGUCAGUAACACGUUUGUGACAAGAAACUGAUGAGGUUCUUUGAGGGAGCUCGCAAAGAAUUUUAGGAGCAGCAAGGAAAAUAAUAAACCCCUUUUAACGAACACAAUCCCAGUAAAAGAUGAGAAUACCAAAAGUUUAGCACAAAGGGAAAUGGUUGUUGUGGUGGAGGAAGCUGCAGCAAUGACAUGACCGUACGAGUGGAGACAAAGCGGCAAAAUCUACUCGAGCCAACGGAACCGCGGCAUUCGGUUCUUUUUUUAUACUGUCACAUUUGUUACAGCUAAAUUUCAGUCCAAUGGAGGAAGCUAACACGCUUUUUCUGCUGUUAUGCAUUUUCAAAAAACUGCACCAAAAAUGAUUAGUUUUGCAAUGCUUGAUGGUCACUGUGUCCAAACCUGGUCUAGAAUGUCCUGAACAAAUCACAAGGAAAUCAUGCUUAGAGGAGCGCCAUGUAGCCGAGAGGUCAGAGAACGCCGGCCUUUCUCUCUUUGUCUGUAAGUAAGGGUUAAAUUCCAUAUAUGAACGUGAGUGGAUCGGCUGUGCACGACAAACACAGAAAGCGCCGUGAGCCCAAAAACUAUCUGCAUUCUAAAUUUACUGCAUUUGUAGCUGUGCAAGAGGGCUUGCGUUAAUGUUUGACACUCUGGACUGGAAACGAUUACACCAUAAAAAUUGCAACGGCAAAAUGUAAGCAAUUCAUAACCACAAUUCUGUCUUGAAAUUCAUCUUUGUUUGCAAGCAUGCAUGGUGAGAACUGGAUGUGCACAUACAGUGUGUGUACACUCUCGUGGCCCUGCAAUCCAUAACAGGAAUGUCCUACCUUAACCCUUAUUUGAACCCCCUACAUCAAGCCUUAAUGUCUCCCUCCAAACCACACACACAUAUACUCACACACACACACACACACACACAAACACACAAAUCAGGGCCAGAGGCCUACAAGGCUGUUUGAAAGCAGAUUAGGCUGACGUGUCAGACAAGGGACCGGGCCACACAGCAGGCAGUCACAUGCUGAAUCUACACACACACACACACAAUAUGAAAGAGAUUCAACACAAACCUUUUCAAUGCCAGACCUCAGCAAACCUGUUGAAAGCGCGUAAGGACUCAGACGGUGGAAUAUUGGAGUAGUGAUUAAUAGAACGCACAGCUAAGGUCUUAAACCACUGAGGUAUACAGAGGUAUACGAAUGCAGCACCGCUUAUAAGGGGCUGACAUUUUUGAAAACAUGCUAUCGGCCAGCUUGAGAGCGGGCUGGCCUCGGUCAUGACCAAUCUUAUCAUCACCGCCGUUGUGCACUCUGCUUUACCUUAUGAGAACAGUCUUCAGCACAGCUGCCACAAAAGCUUCUCCCGAGGGGAUUCGAUGUCCUUGUGCAAGAGGUGCAGAAUCGGCACGAGUAAAUACACGCCACCUUAAAUUAAAUGAACCUGGCGGCCGAUAAGGUUUCUGCUUACCCUGGUGCGGUGGUCCGAGGAGGAAUGUUGCGUUGCAGGGAACACUUCAUUAAAAAAGAAGCAGUGGCACAGACAGCUGAUCGUGAGACUGGAACAACCACCAGGCAUUCACGACGCCUCUACGCGAGGACCGGCACGUCCUUCGUGAGAUGGUGUUAAAUGCCCUUAAGGGCACAUUUAUUGAUCAAAAGCUUGAUACCAACACUGGUCACGUGAUGUGCACCGCAAGCAUGUUUCAAGCAGGCAGGAAGUUCAAGGCACACAAAUGCUUGACAAUCGAAAUUGCAAUGAGGCACCUGUUAGAAAAUCAACCUCUCCUCCAUCACUGUGUCUGUCGUAACAGGGCCAGUCAGGGCAAGUGGAUGUGAGAACACAGAUUAUUUGUAUGUUUUGAUGAAGACACUUCAAUAAAACACAGUUUUUAACAAAGUCAAAUAAUGUUUCAUGUGUUUCAACUUGACCUUUUUCACUCCAGCCAACAGAUCUUCACACAAACCCCCAGCUACAAUUAACAAGGUAGAAAGAAAAAGGAGGAACAUGAACAUAAUUAGAAAAACAAUAUGUUUGAUUUGGAAAUCACACCAGGAACCUGUCUAUCAUUCCGCCAUCUGGCUCAGUCCCCUCAGUCAACACUUUCAGCUCAGCCAGAUAUUCAGUAAACCGUUUAAAUCAACUACGUUUAUAGACAGAGAUAACGUGAAUUAGGAGGGAACACAUGUUAAUGUGCUUAUGCGCUUAGAAGUCAGGAUGUGGAAUGUGUAAAUUAGACGCUAAGGAGAAUAGUCAGGGUUAAGGUCGCUGAUUUCAGAGUGGUAGAUUCUUUAUCCUUUAUUUAGCCAGCUGCUGGCUGGAAGCGGCCAUUUCAGUUCCCCACAGUAUUCUGCUGAGUAUCUGAUUGUUUAUUGCCUUCAAGAUUUCUCUUCCAGACAAAUGGAUUUUAUCGAUUGAAUUUCUUAUUAGGUUGUGUUGCGUGAUUUACUUUUGUUACGCAACACACCUAAAAGUGAAGUUUUUUAAAUGCCUUGCCUCCAUGAUAACGACAUGCAUCUGGUUAUAUUUCCAACAACGUUCUAUUCAAUAUUCUAUUCUAACAAUAAUAAAUCUAGUGAGCAUUACAUAUGUCUGUAGAGACAACAAUUCUUCCUCCCAAUCAAUUUAGUAUGCUCAAUACUGAGGAGGCACUCUCAAGAAAGAGCAAAGCCAUUUGCUGUGUUAUGAUGGCUGUGAUCCUGUCACUGUGCAAACGAGGGAAAAAAACUGUCAAGACAAUAACCUCUGUCUGACCUCUUUGAUACCCCUCGCUUUCUGUUACACAUAAAUAAUCACAAGAACACACACACACACACACAUACACACAUGGUCUGGUGCUGUUGCUGAUGUUGGCACAUUUGCUCUCUGGGACGAGAGCUGCUUCAUUGCCACUGAUUACCGUUUUAUCCUUCCCCUGCAAACGCCAGCCAACAUAACUCUGCAUACCAAUGGACUCCACCAACCACACAGCGAUAAAGGGGGGGAGGGGAUGAAAAAAAGCAGGCAUGUAUGGCUAUUUCUUCUAUUUCAUCUUUCUGUCUGUGAUAGAUCUGUGAAAACUACACAGUCUGUGAAAGGUACAGGUCCGUGAAAGGUAGAGGUCUGUGAAAGGUAGAGGUUUGUGAAGGGUACAGGUCUGUGAAAGGUAAAGGUCUGUAAAAAGUACCGGUAUGUUAAAGGUACAGGUCUGUGGAAGGUACAGGUCUGUGGAAGGUACAGGUCUUUUGAGAACAGAGCAACUGUAGCAGAAAUAAGUUGGAGAUGGAGACGAGUUGAAUUUGCAGAAGUUAAAAUUCAAGGCCACAUCAAUGGGCUUCACAUGUGUCAGAUGAGGGGCCCCUGAAUGAGUAACAGUCCACAGUCUGAGGAAAGCUGAUAAGACCCAGCGGAAGACCAGCUUUUCAGUGGGAGACAGAUGGAGUUGGAACAAAACACAUGGGAGACACACACACUCAUACAAACACACAAAACCUGUCUGUACAUAUACACACAAACACACAAAACGGAUACUAUCAGACAAAAAAGGAUUUGGGUGACAGUUUUUUUAUAUUACGUUUGUGAAAUCUUGUCUGUCAGAGUUAAUGAAAAGAUCUAAAAUAUUGCAAAAACUUUAUUUAUUGAAGAGAGCGUAGACUUGCUCAGAUGUGAAUAAUAUCACUUCAGAGAUAAAACCAAAUGUAAUCCGAAAAAAAAAUGACGUUACAUGAAUUCAAGCGUAUUGACAUUGAGUUACAAUGAUCAAAAGCCUCCUCCCCCUUUUUUAGAGGAACAUUGUUGUAAACAGUACAACAAAUUAAGUUGUUUUGCAUCACAAAGAGGGGGGCGUCUGUAUUAGCAGACACAUGGAGGGACACUUUUGGAACUGGUGGAACACAGAAAGACUUUUGCCAAUUCAAUCCUUCAUAUUGGCAAAAGGAGUGUUUUGUGAGCAAACUAUGGCAAUUGCUUCCCUUGUUGAAUUGUGCGACGUCUAGGGACAGCUUGAUGCCAUAUGUGACUGCCUGGAUGUGAACCAGGGCCUUUAAGCCAGCAAAACACUCAAAUGUUUAGACAUUACAGAACAUCUCCAUGAAAGACAAGCAUGUUUGCUUUCUUUAGGCCAACAGCAACCAAUUUUUGCAUUUAACAAUGGUAGCAACAUCCACCAUCUCAAGACGUCUCCUCUUGUUUGUAUAGACCGAAGACAUGAUGACAAACAUCUUUUAAGACAUCAUCAAUACGGUGGGAAAGCCUUAUUGAUUUUCACUAGGAUUUUCGCAAAUUAUCCGAUUAUUUAUGCAGCAUAGCACUUUCGGCCACAAUUCAAUAUCUUAUGAAAAUCCAAAAGAGGUUUGUUAAACGAGAGAGUGGCGGCAUCCGGCCGUGCUGCCGCGGGGAAGAAGAGACGAGGGGGGCCAUUGUCUCGUUUCUGACAGUUUUACUUUAAUCAAGGAAACAAAUGUGGCGUAAAUAGACAGUUAUUAGCACAAACAUACAGAUAGCUAACAUUAACUUAAGGCACAAGUCGCACGUGAAGAAAAUAAGACGGCACCGGCUCCCAAAGUUUCAAGUUUGGUUGACAUUUUUACGUUUCUUGCCCUCCCAUUGGUUAGUAGUU